rnacentral:lncRNA from 1 species
AGUUAAACGCAGUUGGAUAUAGUUGAACAGCACUCUCUACCCAAAGAACGUUUUGUAUGCGAUAUUUGAUUCUACUCUCUACAACAAGGAGAUAAAUAUUUGAUUCCACCUGAGGUGAGAGCGAAGUGCUUUUUAGUUUAGAUAUAACAUCACGUUUUUUAUGCACAAAUUUAUGUUUAGAUUAUGCGUCAUAUAUUAAGUACUAUAUAUUGUCUAUUCGGCCCGAGCCUGCAUGGAUGGCCAUGGCCCAUGGAGAUAAGCCGAAAUACUUUUACGCCAUUUGCGUUCCCUGAUAUUUGAUCCAAUGGAACUCUCGAGGCCGAGGGGGAAAAGAAUUUGAGAAUGAAUGCUUCACAUAUAAAUGGACUUAGGUUUUAAAUGACAUCAUUCAUGUUAUUGUUCAUGAGCCUAAAGUGUUACUUUAUAAACAUUCUAAUUGUGCCGGGGAACAUAUUCAAAUGUUCAACAUUCUUGAAGUCUCGUUUGGCCGCAUCUCUCUUGAGCUUGGUGUAUAUAACCAUAUAUUUUUCCAUGCGUUUUCAUGCACGAAUUUGAUGUUAUGAUUUUUCCAUUAAAUCGCGCACACUAUGCAGCUAUACUUUCACUCCUUGGUGAAAAGCUGCUAAGCUUUAAAAUCCUUAAACCCUUGCCUCUUUCGUGGAGUGAAAUUUUCAGUUUUUGCAAUGGACUAUUUGAUUUGACAACAUGCAGCGGUAUGUAGCGGGACAUACCUGAAAAAUACAAACGGACUGUUUGUAUUUUUUGCAGUUCUGCUUGUUUAUCUCAGGUAUAUAGUUGUAUCUCCUACAUAUCGCUGUUGUUCAUUGUUAUCACUGCCUACCCUGGGCCAAUUUUAGUCUUUUACAACUGAAAAACAGUUUUGUAUACAAAAAAUGAAAAACAUUUCAACAAAGGGGGCAAACGGGAAACGGCCAAAUCAAGGUUCCUAGCCAUUUAGGCCCGAGGUUCUAUUUGAACGCAUCUUGAUUGUUAAAGAGAACUUUGUCGUUUUAUUAAUUGCGAGACACCCUGAGUGUUUCUGGUCCACGAUAGAUAUAUUUCGGUAUCAUUCAGCGUUACAAUGAAGCAAUCACAAUAUUGUUAUUGUUCAUGCUUCCUAUAUUUAUCCUUGCUGUUUUUGCAUUGUGUAAUAUAUCCGCGACCUUGUUAAUUGCUAUAUAGUCAACUUCGAGUUUCAGUAAACAUCGUCAUAUAGACUAUAGUAUAUAUGAAAAAACGUGGGGAUUCAGACCGUUUACUGUAUAUAUAGAGUCGCGUGGGAAAUCCCGAACGAAGCUACCAGCUUCCCAACAAAGCCCUUCGCCGGCUCAAAACGUCGAUGUUUUGCUUAUAUUCCUCAAAUAGUUCAGUAAACCCUUCACAGCGCAGCAGUUUAUAUUAUAGUCGUGUAUAGGUAGUAUAUGCAGAAAAAGAUUACAAAAGCUUCGACAUAUGUCGCAAAAGCCCUGGCAAAUUGCCCUGACGAAUCUGUUUCGGGUUGUUCAAACAUAAACCACGGCAGCUAUUAUUAUCAUGUCUUACUCAUGAAUAAACGUGUUCGCGUGACUUGCCUUGCGAUUGUGUGUUUUUUUCAUUACGCAGUAUUUACAUUAGGCUUAUCAAUAAAACUACCGGACACUUCUAGAAACCACUGUUGCGUAAUUAGAACUGAAAUGUUGCAGAUAAUCACUUGGAAUAAUUCCUAAUACUUCGCUAUAAUUCCUCAUAUUGUCCAGAACUAACUAAUACUUCGCUAUAAUUCCUCAUAUUGUCCAGAACUUUGAACCGUGGGUUCAAAACAAUGCACAAUAUCGCGUGAGAUAUUGAAUCUAUCUUCCUGCAAAGCGACUUUCUGGCGACAUGUUCGAUGUUUUCGUAAACAUAUAUAUUGGCUGUGAAAGCGGAAAAUGUAAUUGAAUAGAACGGAAAGGGGACUAUGAAAUUCAGGAUUUUAAUGAAUCUUUCUCGAUAUAACUAGAUUUAGAACCCGAGGUGUUUUGAUAGCGCGGGCAGGGGGGGCUAGUAAUUCUCUAAGCAUGCAUGAUUAUGUAACCAGAUUGUUUUAUUAUGAAAAGCGUGACUAUUAAAGCUGAGAUUAUUUUAAUCACGUAGAGAUUUAAAUCGCUUAUAAUUAUAUGUACAUGCAAAAAUCGCAUCAACACGCAUUGAUAUCUUAAUCUUACAUUAAUCCCAGUGCGAUAAAAGACAGCAUUCUUUUCUGUCCAAAAAUAACACGAUAAAGAACAGUGAAACUGUUUAAAUAUUUUUUAGACAUUUUCAUCUCCGUGACCCCGUUUGUGUAUUUGUAAAUAUUGUAAUAUUGCGCCGGGACCGGCUACCCAACCCUGGUUCAAAAUAUAGCUCACAAGUCUAACCUUUUUCCCAUUGUUUUCUCUUCUGGCCAAAACAUUCCAUAAUUGAUUUUUCCUUUUUCUUUAAUAGCUUCCUCAUCUGUAAAAAAGAACGACCAUCAUCAUCUAUAUGGUCAACACUGAGAUCUUGUUUCAUAAACUAAUCCCUUGGAAACUAUUGUGAUCUCCCUCUAAUUAAAGAAGACACCUCCGGAGUCCAAAGAACUUUGCAAUCACCACGCUGAAAAAUCUCUGAUUCUCGACCCCUUGAGAAAAAUCAGCUUGAGAAAACUUCAAAAAUUUUGAACAGAUCUAAUAGCCAGAUCUUUGCAACCAAAAUGGAUGACGACGAGCUAUUAAUACAUGGACUAAACCACCAGCAACGCUUAGUUGCCGUGGCAAUAAAACUGAAAGACAUUGGAGAUGAUCUUGAGAGAAAAACAAGAAAAAACAAUCAUUUACCCUACGGCAGCUGGAUGUGUUUCAUUACGGCGAUACUGGCAAUUUCAGCCUAUUGUUUUCCAUCAACAGAUCGAGGCAUGUCAUAUUUAUGAAUCUAAAUAAAAUGAUUCACGAUAAAUAAAAUAAUUCACGAUAGCGCCAAGAAGGUGCAAUUUGGUGGACAUAAACAGACCUCAUUAUAAAUGGUGAUUUUGUAUACCAAGUGCCGGUUGUUUGAAAACUGGAUUAGCUUAACCCUAGGUUAAUUAACCUAAAAUUCAAAGCAAACUUCCUAGCCUGCGAACAGGCUCUCUUUGAAUCAAAGAGCCUGUUCGCAGGCUACAAACUUCCCAACAGCUUGCAUACAAAUUUAGAAAUAUUUCUUUGGAAAUCUUGUCUGGACAUGCAGUAGGAGUUUUCUUCUCUGGCGUUUUGAAAUAAACAGACGUGCAGAAAUACAUGAACUAAUUAAAACAGCUGGUUAAAUUUUAACCCAGGGUUAGCACUAAUCACGGUUUGAACAAUCGGCUCCUGGGAACUAUAUGUAAUUGAUAAGAUGGGAUGUGGUAAUCUACUGUAUAUAUAUAUAUAUAUAAAUAAAUAAACUUAAUUCUUGUAAUAUUGGAAAGAUUCAGAUUUGACUUCCACAACCACUAUAUGCCACUGGAAAUUUUUUCAAAAUUCUUACCCUGGAAAAACAGCAGUAUGGAUCGUCGUAGGCAAUUUGUAUUACUAAAAAUUAAUAUAAAAUUUGCAAAUUUCGUAUGGCUAUAUUUUCCUCAUUUUACAACAUUUCGCGGCCAAACUCUGCAAUUUUACUAACUUUAACAUGCUCUUUCUGGCUGUGGUGAUAGAUUUUGUUCUUCUUGCCUUGAUCAAAAUUUAGUCUAUAGCUAGAAUUGCCCAUUGCAAUUCCCAGCUAUGGAUUUGGUCAUGCAAUUGCAAAUUCCUUGGUAUGGAUUUCACUAUUUCUUCCAGUGUACCUGUUCACAAGCGUAAUACGCAUUUGAUUGGUUAAUUGGAAAAAAUAAAUGCAUCUCAUUGGUUAAUGCCGGGUAACGGUGGCAGUAUAUAGUGGAAGCCAAAUUCUGUACCUUUCUAAUUAUUCAGUGAGUAAGCACUUAGAAUAAAGAACACAAUGAUCGCUUUUGAGAAAUGCGUGGCGUUCACGCAAACUUGUGCGUGGAGUUCGCGCAAACUUGUGCGUGGUGUUCACGCAAACCUGUGCGUGGUGUUGACACGAUUGAAUAUAUGUUGUAAAAUAAUUCUUGGAAAUAUUAACUUGGCCCAAUUAAUUAAUUAAUUAAUCACGAAAUGUUUUAGACUUUGCCGGUCUGUUAUUAAUUAAGAACAUAAAAUAAUAUUAUUAUAGAUGUAUUUGUAUAUAACGGCUUGUAUGUUAUAUUGUUGUAUAUGGAAGUAUU